UUUGUUGGAACCCUCUGUUUAUAAAAAGCUUCUGAUCAACAACCUAGAAUUUUCUAAAAGCCUUGGGAAUCCUGUCUUCAUCAAUGGAACAUUAUGUUUGAGUGCAGGUACAUAUAUCUUGGGCUAUUUGACAGCAAAGUAGAAGCUGCAAGGGCUUAUGACAAGGCGGCUAUAAAAUGUAAUGGAAGGGAAGCUGUUUCCAAUUUCGAACCAAGUACAUAUGAAGGAGAGAUAGCCGUGUAGGCUGAUUCUGGAGGAACUGCCCACAAUCUCAAUCUGAACCUAGGGAUUUCCCCCCCUUCUUUUGCCCAUGGUUCGAAGGAGAGUGAGAGUUUGGCUGGCUUCCAUUUUCAUUGCAGCCCUUUUGAGGUGCCUAAAAACAGGAAUAUUAGGGCUGAGAACCCAACUUCAGUACCUCAAUGCUUGACCAUGGCACCUGAGCAUCCUCCUAUGUGGACUAGUCUAUAUCCUGGUUUCUUUCCCAACUUUGA